CCCGCUCGCCGUCGUCUUCUCCCCUCCCACUGCAAAUCCGUGCGCCCAAGAUCCCCUACCGCUGCGUAGAUGCCCCACCUCCACACCGCCGGAUCAACGCUGCCGAUCCCGUCCAAACCCACCAGCCCCCAUGUCGUCCACCGUGACCUACAGCAGUCGCGGGGACUCCCUAUUCCUCUCCCUCCGCGCCCUGGAGUCUCUGCUUGGUCUGUGUUCAUUUCAAACAAGGUGGUCAGGACGUACGUCCUGUGCCUCUCUUUGUUGCUGCACCUCGUUUGAGACGAACACUGACCAACCGGAGUCUCCUGGCAUAGCAUCAUCAGGAAUUGUAUAAUCUCUUCUUGCCUCAGGAGAUGGGAUGCAGGGUCCGUCUCCAAUUGCAAGCUUCGGAGUAGUAUCGGUCAGGGCCAGGCCGUCAGAUGUGCCAGUUUCUAUUGAUCAAUAAAUUCAAUCAAUUUCUGUUGUUGUAAUUCAUGUAGCUUUUGGCUAAGAUGUGUCAAAUCGUUUGUUUUAAGGACAUGUACGUGGUGCCGCAAACUCAUGUUGUCCAAACCUGUUCUGUUGUGAACCAAUGUAUGUGCAAGACCUAUAUGUGCUAUGAUGCCCUAACUAUAUUGUGAGUGCUUAAGAAAUCAUGACUUGUGGUAAAUGGUGAUGAAACUACCUCCAUGCAUUCACUCGUGAUCAUAUAGCUUUUGCCCACGUAUCUUAGAAUAUUACAUCCUUUGCUACUUUGCAGCAUGUUUACUGAAGUUACUCAAUGUACAGUGCCACCCACGGAUGGAAACCUACAUCACGAAGAGUCAUCUCCAGCUGCUGAUGCCCGUAGGGUUUCCUUGGGUAGCUGUCCUAUGAAAGGGAAUUGAUGAAACAGUGGACUGAAGCUCAUCCGCUUAGGUCCAAGGAAUUGAUGAAUUGUUAGUUCCUGGAAGACAGCUGAUGUGCGCCACUCACCGGAGGGGAUUAAUGAAGGUAUAUAUGUUACUUUUUUCCCAACCUGCUGCUGCUUGAGUUCAUGCACCUGUAUAUGUAUGCUUCGUCACUUAAUUCUCUCGAGUCAUCUUACUCUGGCAGCAGAAAUUCGAGCAGCUACAUUUCUCGGAUAUGUUGCCCUCUAUCAUCAUUUUUUUACGCCUACAAUCCCCCCUUCCAUCCAACAAUUUUGUGUUCUAAUGUUAUUCAAAUCUCAGCUUUUAUAGGUGGUGUCAUCCUUUUUUGGGUCAACUGACUGAUUCGGGCAAGUCUUGGAGGUUGGUGCUCAUACUUUUGUUUGUGGGGAGUUCUUCACUUGACAAAUCCGUAAUGGCUGCUGGUCAGGAGGUCUCAUUCUUUGAGGAAGGAGAGCCUGAACUUGAGGGAAACCUAGAGACUUUGAAGGUUUGCUUUGCCCCUUGGUUGAGAUUUAGAAUGGCAUUGAUGUGACUAACUUUUGUUUAUGUGUGCUGUGACUAACUCCGUCUUAAAAGAGUAACUUAUUGAGCAGUUAAUAAUUAGGACAUCACCACAUGAUCGCUUCAGAAGUGAAGUCACCAAUCUGCAUGCAAAAAAUACAAUCUCCCUGGUAUAUUUCUAGAGCUUGAGCCCAAUUCUUCAGUUCUUUGAAAGAUGGUUUCUAAUCACCUGAGUAAAUUUCACUUAUUAUUUCUUAAUUCACUUUUCAGUCGUACUAAAUAAUACGCUGAUUAGAAUUUAUCACUUGAUAAGCUACUGCUCUUAUGUUUGUGUACAUGUAAUAAAAAGCACUUUACAGGCAUAAACACAUGCUACAGUAAUGCAUUCACGUAAGCUUAUACUCCAAACUUUAGUGUGCGAAGGUGGUGCUACUUGAAUUCUGCACUAACUAAUAAUAACCUUUGCUGUGAGUUUCCUGUAAUUUAAAAUUGAAAUGUGUUGCAGUGUGCAUUUGUAUAUGACCAUUGUUUGCUGUAUGAUUCAUGAUCUAUAAUUAAUCAGUAUGAUCUCCAUUUUUCUGAUAAGAGAAGAGUACUAUUCUGUUCUCAUUCAGUUUCUUUCCUACUGAUGGAACAGAAAUACUACACAUUCCUAGGUUUUGUCUUUUCCACUCUUAAUAGUUCUGAUAUGUACCGAUCGUAUAUUUGUUUCUUGGUCUCAUACUAACCGGAGAGAACAAUCACUAUACUUGAUUGGCUCCUACCCUAUGAAGAUAAAAUAUUAUCUGCGUCAUGCUAAAUAAUUACCAUUACUAGCAUAUUUGCCCAUUUUAAAAAUAUAUCAUAUGUAUUGCUCACUGUCCAACUAUCAGCUUGAAAAUAUAUCUGCAAAUAAACUGAUGGCUUCAGUAGAUCCAAAGUUCAAGGAAGCUAUCCUUAAAUAUGUACAACUCCAUCUGUGUAUACAUCUUCAAAAAUAUCUAUGUACUAGACCAUAUAUACUUCAUAUCCUAAUUAAGUCCUAAGAUAGCAACAUGUAUACGAUGAUUAUCUAAACCUGUAUUGUUUUGCCAUCUCGUUUCAAAUGGACAUUCCCACCUGUUUGCCCACUGUUCAUAAGAGCAGCACACGGGAGAACAUUUAUUAUAUGGCCUGUUCACUGUUGUGCCUUCGUAGAAGUAUGUGUGAUUCAUAUUUCCACAAGUUUUUUGAAUAUGGCUGAUGUUCAUUUUGCAUAUGGUUCAUAAUAAAAAAUGAUGUUUGCUCCAUGUAAGAUAUAUUAAGUGAUACUCUACUGUGAAAACCCUGGUAACUUCUCUAUGGCCUUUGGCAAAUUAUAGGCCCUACUGUUGCACAAUCAAUUCUACCAGUUACUUUCCAUGUAUAUAGUUUUAUCUACUGAUAAAACACGACGCCAGUUUUUUUUUUACCAGAAGUACAAUAUAUUUCUCCUCUUUCCAUAUGUAAGAUCUUUAUUGCUCUUUGUGCAUAAUUUUACCAUAUCUAUACCCUUCUAAUAGAUUCAUGCCGCACUUCUGUUUUCUCUGUAUACACCACUGCCACCAUAUUGAGCAUAAAGGAGUUAAAAAAAUUGUUUCUCUAAUAACCAUCUAGUUUUGAGGUCAAAACCAAAAACACCAAAAGAAGGUUCUCAACUCUUAAAUUACUAACAAAUCACUUCAACAAGGAAAAGGUGGAGCGGAGUUUGGCCAUUGUCCAAGGUAGCCCAGAGUUUAGCUAGGUUGUGCUUUGAUAUUGAUCAUAACAUUUUUUGUAACUUUGUCUAUGAACCCCUUAAUUUUUUUGUUGGCUAAACUCGUGGAUGAUAUAAGAAGAAAAGGUUUCUAGGGAUAAAUAAAAGGAAUGAUGAUUAAUAAAGCUAGCCAUGAUGCCUUACAAAUUCGUGUCAUUUUAACUUGCAAUCAAAUGUCUCGUUAUAUUUAUUUUAAUCCCAGAUAGUAUCUUAUGGAGACGGGCGUUGCAACGCAUCCCAUCAAUGAUCUAGUAGUAAACAAAAGCACUACAGGUCGGCGAUAUUGGCCAGCUUCUGGUUAAUUAAUUAGGCAAACGUUUGCUAGCUUCUGGUUAAUACUUUCUUCACGAUUUAAAAUUUGAAGAGAUCAGCUUGAUCUUGGCCGCUGGUAGGUGCUACCCUUUGCGGACUUUAGCUUAGUAAUAAUGCUGCUAGUGGAACAGCUAGACACAACACAUGACCGGUGGCGGCGGGGUUGGAUGGCGUGCUCAGCCAGGUCUUGAUUAGCAUAAUAACAUUUCAGGGCAUAGAUAUUUGGCCAGGACGUCGACCGGCACUUGAGAAUAAUUGAAAAGCGCACACUGUUUAUGCCAGUAAAGAUAUUUUGCUGCCGACCAUCACUUAGAUGUGCUUCCCUUAUGACAUCAAUUGAUUCCGGCGGCUGCUCCUCGUGGUCAUAUGUGGGUACUCGUGCCUUCACUGCCGGUGCCGUGAACGCCGGAAUUGGAGCCGUGCAACGCCCGCUGUGAGAGGUAGCAGGCUAGGGAGAGGAUGGCGGCGUCAGAGACGGCCACAUCUUCCUCCUGCCGCCGACGCUGAUUGCCUAAGCCCGACGCGGAGGAGCAGCUCCUCGCGGCUAUUCUUCGCCGCCUGCUCAUGAUGGCAGAGACGGACGCCCGUCGGCUUCGUGGGAAGAACACCAAGGCGCUCCCGCUCAGUAUCGAGCAAUUGAAGCGCGAAGUGGCAGAGGAAGCCGCCAAGCUGGCGAAGGCACGGAACCGUGCCAUCUGGAGGAGGGCCGGCUACAUUGACUCCUUG